GCCCGGUUAAUUCAGUUGGUAGAAUGUGCGGCUUUUACCAUUAAGUUGAAAGUUAACCGCAAAGUCGUGGGUUCGAGCCCCACAUCGGGCG